GGAGGGUAUAGCUCAGUGGUAGAGUGUGUGCUUUAUAUGCACCAGGUCCUGGGUUCAAUCCCAGUACCUCCA
rnacentral:tRNA from 1 species